rnacentral:rRNA from 1 species
AAUAGAUACCCCGGUAGUCCACGCCGUAAACGAUGAGUGCUAGGUGUUGGGGGGUUUCAACACCCUCAGUGCCGCAGCUAACGCAAUAAGCACUCCGCCUGGGGAGUACGGUCGCAAGACUGAAACUCAAAGAAAUUGACGGGGGGCCCGCACAAGCGGUGGAGCAUGUGGUUUAAUUCGAAGCAACGCGAAGAACCUUACCAGGUCUUGACAUCCCGCUGACCGCUCUGGAGACAGGGCUUCCCUUCGGGGCAGCGGUGACAGGUGGUGCAUGGUUGUCGUCAGCUCGUGUCGUGAGAUGUUGGGUUAAGUCCCGCAACGAGCGCAACCCUUGUCUUUAGUUGCCAGCAUUCAGUUGGGCACUCUAGAGAGACUGCCGUCGACAAGACGGAGGAAGGUGGGGAUGACGUCAAAUCAUCAUGCCCCUUAUGACCUGGGCUACACACGUGCUACAAUGGCUGGUACAACGGGACGCAAGCCCGCGAGGGUGAGCCAAUCCCUCAAAGCCAGUCUCAGUUCGGAUUGCA